rnacentral:rRNA from 1 species
UAGGGAAUCUUCCGCAAUGGACGCAAGUCUGACGGAGCAACGCCGCGUGAGUGAAGAAGGAUUUCGGUUCGUAAAACUCUGUUGUUAGAGAAGAACAGCGCAUAGAGUAACUGUUAUGCGUGUGACGGUAUCUAACCAGAAAGCCACGGCUAACUACGUGCCAGCAGCCGCGGUAAUACGUAGGUGGCAAGCGUUGUCCGGAUUUAUUGGGCGUAAAGCGAGCGCAGGCGGUCAAUUAAGUCUGAUGUGAAAGCCCCCGGCUCAACCGGGGAGGGUCAUUGGAAACUGGUUGACUUGAGUGCAGAAGAGGAGAGUGGAAUUCCAUGUGUAGCGGUGAAAUGCGUAGAUAUAUGGAGGAACACCAGUGGCGAAGGCGACUCUCUGGUCUGUAACUGACGCUGAGGAUCGAAAGCGUGGGUAGCAAACAGG